rnacentral:rRNA from 1 species
AUACGGAGGAUCCGAGCGUUAUCCGGAUUUAUUGGGUUUAAAGGGUGCGCAGGCGGCCAUUUAAGUCAGCGGUUAAAUCGUGGGGCUCAACCCCAUUCUGCCGUUGAUACUGGGUGGCUUGAUUGCGGUCGAGGUUGGCGGAAUUCGUUGCGUAGCGGUGAAAUGCAUAGAUAUGACGAAGAACACCGAUUGCGUAGGCAGCUGACCAGAACGCAAAUGACGCUCAUGCACGAAAGUGCGGGGAUCGAACAGGAUUAGAUACCCUGGUAGUCCGCACAGUAAACGAUGAAUACUUGUUUUCGGCGAUAUAAUGUCGGAGGCAAAGCGAAAGCGAUAAGUAUUCCACCUGGGGAGUACGCCGGCAACGGUGAAACUCAAAUGAAUUGACGGGG